UACGUAGGGUGCAAGCGUUGCUCGGAAUCACUGGGCGUAAAGGGUGCGUAGGCGGGUCUUUAAGUCAGGGGUGAAAUCCUGGAGCUCAACUCCAGAACUGCCUUUGAUACUGAAGAUCUUGAGUUCGGGAGAGGUGAGUGGAACUGCGAGUGUAGAGGUGAAAUUCGUAGAUAUUCGCAAGAACACCAGUGGCGAAGGCGGCUCACUGGCCCGAUACUGACGCUGAGGCACGAAAGCGUGGGGAGCAAACAGGG
rnacentral:rRNA from 1 species